CAUACGAUUUUUCUACAAUUUAUGGUGAUUUUUACAAAACUGCCUAUCAUUUCAAACACCAAUCCGGACCAGUCUGUGAUUAUGGACUUUUUCACCCAAGUUGGAGGUCAUUAAAAAUCAUGAUAAAAAUUAUGAGUAAACUAGACACAUUUUGGGAACUCUCAGAAUUUACGGAUUUAGUUUUCAACUUCGUAUGAUUUUUCUAUGACUUUUCAAAAACAGUGUAGAAAGGUUGAAAAUUUGUUAACAGCUUAUAACUUUCAUAACACUUUGUAUUAUGUUGAGCAAAGUGUAUAACGAUAAGUUCCAAAUAUUGAAUGUGUUUCCAUGUUAGUUUAUCAUCAUAAACUGAAAUAUAGUCAUUCAUGAUAAGAUUAUUCAUUCAUUUAGAACACGUAUAUUAAGCUAUAAUGAGCAUAGUUUAUGGAUUCAUAGCAUUAAAGCAUUCAUAAAAGAAUUCUUAUACAUUACAAACGUUUUGGAUAAACUAUAAUAGGUAUAGUUUAUGUAUCAUUUACUUCUCAAACUUAUUUACCAAAGGUUUUCAGUUUAGUUCACGUAAAUCUGUUAAUGAAUAAAUUUGUGAGUCAUUCCCUUCGGGUUACUUCCAAAGUAACAAAGUCAAAAAGUCCUGUAAAUUGUAACCAGAGUCUCUUGUAGGGAGAACGUGAUAGUUGUGUAUAGAUCUAUAUUGGGUUUGACAAACCCACACCAGAGCUGCUUGCAACAGCUAGACCGGCAGGUCUGUGGUGACAAGUGUCAUUUAACGGCGACGCCUGAAGAACGUCGUAUUACGAGGCCGUCUAUGUCAAGUAUGGUUAUGAUAGCUCACAUGUGGUAUUAACAAUCAUAAGAUUUACGGGUUCUAACUUUAAAUUAGCGAGUUAUGUCUAUUUAGCUCACUGAAAUUACUUUAAGUAUGGAAAAAUACUUAUACGCCUUCAUAUCAAAAAGGGUUUUAUGUCGAUUUAAAAUCACUUUUUACAUCAACAAUUACAUACUUUAUUGUAUACUUUCGGUCUUGGUAUUUAAGACUACACAUCAUUCAUUACGGGAUUUUUCUCACAUCAGAAAGGGUUUUAUGCCGAUUUAAAACCACUUUUAUAUCUUUAAGUAUGACAAAUAGUUGUUCAUUUUCGGUCCUGGUAUUUAGGACUACAUAACUUUUGUAAGGAAAAUAUUGGAUUUUUCUUGGUAUCAUACAUCUCUUUACAAAGAUCGAUUUUCAAACUCUUACUGUCAAAAGCUUAUGAACUCACCAACCUUUGUGUUGACACUUUUCAAAACUACUUGUAUUCUCAGGAAUUCAGUGAAACAGGAAAUCAACCACGUUUUGAGGAUGGGACGAUAAAUCGUCAAACAGUUCAUUUUGUAUCAUAAUGUAAUUGAUUUGAAUCAUGUAAACAUAUACUUUGGUGUAACUUUUUCAAUUAUAUUUAUGAUGGUUGUAUUUACUUUGAGCACUAUUAUACUCGUUGUUGUGAUACUCUACAUGAAGUCCUCCACCCCCGGACGUUUCCGCCAUCCUUGGUUUGGGGGUGUGACAGAUUGGUAUCAGAGCAUUGUUUAUAGUGAACUCAGUAUAUCGAACCACAUAAGAUAUACAAACUAUAAAUGCAUUGGGACUAGAGUCUCUGAUUUAAAGUUUUCAAAACAACUACACUUUUAGAAAUAAGUAGUUUCUUAUUAAAAGUAUACAGGCAUGCAUACAUACUAAGGUCAGCAUCAUUCUAGAACAAAACUAAAGUAAUGAUUGUUGAAUAUCACAGGUAAGCUCGGGGGUGUAUGAUCAGUCUUGGGAAUGGCAUAGCCUGAUCAACUAUGCUAGUCCGAGGAGUGAUUAGCACAUGCCCAAGAAUGGUUGUGAUAUGGCAACAAGUCUAAAUACUUACCAACACUACCACAAUGAGAACAUUAGAAUAGAACACGAGUUUAAAAUACUAUAGGAGUAUUUUGUAAUAUCAUAACUUAUAUGAAAACUAAUUAGAUCCUUAAUAAUAGGUAUAUAGUCCCUAAGUGGAUACCCUAAGAUAUUAUAUAACUUAGAAAUCAUAGACUUAGAAUUUGUGGUCAUUGCCUUACUUCCUUUUCCUUGUUUGGAUGUGGAUCUAGGGUAGGAUCACUUAUUCGAAGGUCUAUCAUAUCUUGUUAUAUGUAAUUAGUAUGCACUAUGUCAUUAUAGAAGUAACUAAUAAGGAUCACCCCUAUAAGUAAUUAAUUAUAGAGUUAGACGCCUAGUAAUUAUCUCUUCCACUCCUAUUCUCGCACGUACAACAUAGUAAAAUCCUACUUACCGGACGACACCUACUUUCCCAAUCCGAACCGAGAAAUGGUGAAUGGUUAUGAGGAGAAUCAGAAGCGAAACCGGAGGUAAUCAAUCCUCUAUGCAUAGCAAGGGUUUCCGUGAACCGUUUCGACUACAUCGAACCUGUGCCCCGUUGGGCAAUCGUGAUCAAGGGUUGAAUGUCGACAGCAAUGACAACAACCACCAUGUGGAGACCAACGAGGGUGCUAUGACCUCAACUACGGGGGAUCGACUGACAGAGCCCUCCCGGCUAAGACCCGACAGAUCGCGAACAUCGGGGAUUAAAGCAGGUAGACUACAACCUAAGUUCGGAAACUGCGCGCUACUACAGGCCCUACUGUCUCAUGUACCCGAGACUCGAAAAGAGACUACUAUUUCGGAGACCAACUCUCUGUUUAGGACCUUAUCGCCACUCAGGCAGAGGCAAGAGAGUAACGGGGUAGACACACGACAUUCAAAGAGAGGAGGAUUGCAGCCAAGCAUCGAUUGACAGAGUUGCAAGGUGCAUCGACUUUGCCUCAGGCAUCGCAAGGGACGGAUCGUCGUAAGUAGAAUUCAGACCGCUCACAAGACCUUGUAAAUUAGGUUCGUGGGUAUGCGUUGGUGCUACUCUAUUGUAGGCGUAAGCACGACACUGGGAUUUAAGCGGUCAUACUAAACGAGGGAUCUAGUUGCUAUCAAAACUUUUCCAUGCGCGGAUGUGAGGCAAACCUACAGCUAGGUCAAAAUUUUUAGCUGAAACCAGAAUUACUAGAAUCAUAUUAACAUGAUGGGCAUAGGAUAUACCUAACAGACUCGAAGGUCUAUUUAGUCUUAGUUAUAUAACUAAGCAUACUUCAAUUGGUCAUAAUAAGGACCUAGCUUGGGUCAAGUAUAAGGUUUCACUUGGAUACAGAACUACUGAAAUACAUGAAUAUACCAUAUAAAGAAUCUCGCUAUGAAUUGUUUUCAGAACACCGUUAACGACCGAAUUGCGUUACAAAUUGAUAAGAUAAACUUAUUUAGAAACUCGCGACGUAUAGCCAUUCUAAAAACUCAUUAUCAUCUCACCCUUAAACAUUUUGUUGAGAAGUUCCUUCUUCAUAGACCUAUAGGUGCGAUCAUACCAGCACUAAUGCACCGGGUCCCAUCAAAACUCCUCAGCCAAGCGUGUUCGGACAAACAUGAUUCUAAGAUGAGUAAAGCUUAACGCCCGUAUGAAACCUACUCCUACCCAUUGCCAUAACUCCAUUUCAAGAACGUUAGCGGAAACACUAAGAAUAGUACCGUAAUGUGCAAAAAUUUAUAUGCGUAAAUAUAAAUCGUAAGAAUGCACUUAAGAUAAUUAUCCCCACUAACGAAGUCGUUUUUCAUCAUGGAACAGAGCUAUGUCUUCACCAAGGGGAAACCAACCAACUAGCAAGGCGCCAACCCUGCAGAUAGACUCUGCUACUUUUCAAGCUACGGUCACGACAGCCGUAGCAGCCAUCAUGGUGCAGCUCAAUGCUAACCCCGCCAGCAGGCGUGGAAAUGCAGUCAGAAAUACUAACUGCGAUAAGAAUCAAGAACAUCAGUGGGCGACCAUCAAUGAAAAUGCCUCAGGCCACAAACCUACGAACAAGAAGAGAAAGUUUUGGAACAUGAAAGAGCACCACCAAUCUCAAAGAUCCACUAAAAGACAACAACCCAUGGCCACCCCUACAAUUACAACAGUAGUCACGACUCAUGCCUCGACACUAGCCAUGGGGUCUGUCAUCCAAACGCCGGCCAGACCAUAUAAGGGAUCACUCCCGAAGUGUAACUACCAUCACACAGGAGCUUGACGAAUUUUACAAUGUAAUAACUGCAACAUGAAAGGACAUACCUUCCGUUUCUGUAAGGCCCCGACCCAGCAUCUCCCUUCAAUCACCAGCACCAAGGUAGACCCAGUAUGCUACUUAUGCGGUGAAACGGGACACUUCAAGAGAGAGUGUCCAACCGAGAAGAAUGACGGGGGAGCAGGAGGAGUGUGAUGAACACACCAGCAGGAGCAGCAGGGAACCAUAUUAGGACUUUUGUAAUGUUUCCAACGACAAAAACGUUUAAGUACCAUAUGUUUGUAAUGAAUUCGGUAUGCUUGCUAAAGUCACCGCCUUUCUAAAAAGUAGUUAAAAUACUCUCUCGUUCAAAUCAAACCAAAGACAUUCAUAUAUGACCUUAGGAUCAUUACCUGUAAGAUGUGAUGACUUUGUACAUACAUCGGGGUUAAUUAUAAUCAAAAUACUGAAGUCUUGAAACAAAUAAUUCCAUCCUGACUCCUAGUCCAUGUCUAGUAGUAGGAAUUGAGUGGGGCCACCCACUCGACGAUUUCCCCAACAUCAAAUUUCAUACGACGUUCAUAUACCGCUUGAUCGUAGGGAGACCUGUCAGGGAUCAUGAUAUCAAGUAUCAUUACUGGCUAUCGAAACACACCUACUACCAGUGCUAGACACUGUGGUAUGAAUCAUCUAUNUAAUAACAUCGAACAAAACGGAACACACUGAAAAGAAACACAAGAUACUCUGUCACUCUAAUGAUCACUUCUUAUGAAUACAACUUAACACAUGUUUUAUCUAAAAAGAUAUUGUUGUCACCAUUCAAUUUCAAUUGGUGUAGUCCUCAUCUUCCCGGUUUAACGACUAUGAAAGGACCCUUCACCUAACCCACCGAAUAUCGAAACCUUUGUCUCCCAUAAACGCGUCCAGCACGGACCUUCGGGUCAUCCUUCGAUGUGAAACCCCCCAAAACACGCACUAGAGGAGUGUUAUACUUCCAGAAACCUUAUCAUAAGUAUUUUCAGGAGACCUUCGGGAAUGUCACGCGUAACAGACAAGAUUCAAGCACAAAAGCUUGGGACGGAUACGGUUAGUCUACCACUACUACGUGUAUACGCGAGGAUAAUGUAUAAUUAAGAUUCUACGGAUAUUGGAUGUGUGCUUUCGUCCUAUUUCUUGUUCCAUGUCUGGUUGUGGACUUGGGGCAGAGUCACCCAUCCAACUGUCUUUCCAAUCUUAAGCACAUACGACCUAUAUGCGCAAGUUAAUGAUAGAUGGACUAGGUACGAGUCCUGCCAUGAGCUUCGGGCCAGGGUNCGGGCCAAGGUUUCCCAGAGGGACGAGUAAAUGUCCUACCAUCCGAAAAGGCCUAGUCACGUAAACCAAACCCACAUGCUUCCUACAAAGCUACAAGAACUGUCAGGUCAAACCUAUCGAGCUACUCAACAAUGAAAUUGAGGAACCAAGCUUCUCACCCUGGAGAGCUCCGGUCUUAUUCUUCAAAUAGAAAGACAAAUUUCUCGUAGUUUCAUCGACCUCAAAGGCCCCGACAAUAUCUCCAGUAGAAACCUUUACUAUCUACCUCGCAUAGACGAAUAGGUCGACCAACCGCAAGGAACGAGGUACCCUUCAGGAAUUGGACCUGAGGUCUGAAUAUCACCAGUCGCGAGUAUUGGAGAAGGAUGUCCGAGGACAAUCCUCUAAAUUCGAUGCGGACGCUACAAGUCCGUAGUGAUACCCCUCGGAUAGGACCAACCCGCUCGCAACAUUUAUAGGAUAUGCCAUUCUUACUAGGAUCCGUUAGUCAUUGUCAUUGUAAAUGACUUGCUUAUCUACCCUCGUAAUAAGAAGGAAACCAAGGAGAGCAGCUACAACAAACCGCAAAAGCAAUAUGAUCAGAGAAGCUUUACCCGAAGUUCUCUAGAUACGAGUUUUGGAAUUGAGGACUCGAAUUCCUAAGACACAUCAUUAUCAAUGUGGAAAUCCUUAAGGACCCUUUCAAUUGAUCAAAACCGUUGAGAAACAGUCAGCACCAAAGGCGUCAGCAGGAAUACGCUAAAAUUCUGGGUCUCACUGACCUACUGUCUUAGCUCCUUUGGAACUUCUCGUAAAUUACAGAACCCCCUUACGACUUUGAACCUGAAGGGAACAACCCUUGACUGGGAAGAGAAGCAUGAGGAAGAAACCUUUAGAACUCUAGAAUAAAAGACCAAAUUCCUCUGGAAGCCUCACUCUGGGAAGGCCUAGUACGCUUCGGAAAGCGUGGAAAGCCAAAACCCCAUAUAAUUAUACCUUUCAAGAUUCUUGUCAGAAUCAGCCCUGUAACUCGCUACUUGAAUCUACUCUCGCGAGCUUGGUAAAGUACAUUCUACCCGACAUGUCUCGAACUUGCAAAAGUAUCUAUCUGAUGAGACUCUUGUAAUUCCCCUCGACGAGAUCAAGUUCCACAAGAGCCUCACCUUCGUGGAAGAACCGUAGUGACCAUGGACCAAGAGGUCAAGCGAAUGCAACAACGUUGCUUCUCAUUAGUGAAAGUUCGCUGGAAUACUAACCAAGGGCCUGGAGUCACUUGGGAGUGCGCGAAUCAGUCGAUUAGGAAGUAUCCCCACUUCUUGGCUCGAUUGUUCAUGCCUACUCCUUGCCUAGAUUCAAAUUUCGGGAGGAAAUUCCCUCUAACGGGGGGAUGAUGUGACAACCGUCAAUUUCCGGUCAAGUCAAAGUCAACUGAAGUCAACAAGUCAAACCAUUCGACUCAAUUUGCCCAUGGGUACUAGAGUUUAUGUUAUGUAAUUUCUAAACAACUCGCUAUUCUAAUGAGAGAUCAUAAAUCGAAAAGUGCGUACAUCUAGAUCUCCUUAACCUAAAAUUGUGGUACGGGGCGAGCCAAACCGAUAAAACAAUGUUGCAUACUCAUCGGGAGUAUGCAAGAUCCUUAAACAAGGCNAAGGCUUAACGGUUGACGGACCUUGCAUUGCGAAGCCGGACACUCGCAUUGGCCACACACAAAACCUCUCUCAAUUGUUUUCACUCCAUCUCUCUUUAUCGAGAAUCUCUCCAAGAUAUGAAAUCUCUCCCAAAUCUCUCUAAGUAUGUGAAAUCUCUCCCAAAACUCUCUUUGUAUGAGAAAUCUCUCCAAGAAUAUGAAAUCUCUCCCAAAUCUCUCCAAGAAUGUGAAAUCUCUCCCAAAACUCUCUUUGUAUGAUAAAUCUCUCCAAGAAUAUGAAAUCUCUCUCAAAUCUCUCCAAGAAUGUGAAAUCUCUCCCAAAACUCUCUUUGUAUGAGAAAUCUCUCCAAGAAUGUGAAAUCUCUCCCAAAUCUCUCUUUGUAUGAGAAAUCUCUCCAAGUAUGUUAAAUCUCUCCCAAAUCUCUCUAAGUAUGCCAAAUCUCUCCAAGUAUGACAAAUCUAUCCCAAAUCUCUCUCAAAAUCUCUCUCAACUUUCUAUAAUCACUCGGGGCAUCCCGACCCUCGAAUUUGGCGAAAACAGCCCAAAAAAAUGGAAGUCUACGCGAAAAACGGACUUAAAGAGCCGAAACUCCUCUUAGGAACCGAAACCCCUCUCAAGGAACCGAAACCCUCUCAGGAACCGAAACCUCUUAGGAGCCGAGACCCUCUCAACCGAAAUGGACCAAGUGCUCUGUUUAUUUCGGUCUCCUGAUCAUUCCAAACCGAACCUGACUUUCGACUCCCCUUCUCCCCUUCGGUCAGAAGAGACUCCACUUCGGUACGAGAGGCGAACCUGCGCAUCCGAGGACUUGAGCCGAGGAGCAAGCCUGCGCAUCCGAGCCCCACUCUCGGUUCCUCCUCCUGCUCUCGGUUCCUUCUCAUGCUCUCGGUUCUAGCGGCUAGGACCGAACCCUCGGCCAGAACUUCGGAUUUUGACAGUUUUCACCCGAUUUUCGAUAUCUUUAGCGUUUUGAGCCUGUUUUUCGAGAUUUUAACGCAUGAUUUUCUCACAAACUCAUAUUUUAACAUAAUAAGCCCCAAAUAUUCAUAUUUUAAUUAUAUUUUGGGGAAAAUCCUUGUCUAAGAAUAAAAUCUAGUAGGUAAGAUUUAUGGGUGGAGUGUUGACUUUGCCUUAGUGCGUGACACAAGCAACCUCCCCAUACCUCCAUGGUACAACCCCUUGUCCUUCCACCAUACCUAAGUCAUGCUAAUGUACUUUAUCAUCAUUUCCAGCCAUUUCCCACGUUCUUAGAGCUGGAACAUCCACCCUCUCUCAUCACUUCACUCAUUUUCUCUCAUUUUCGCCACAAGAUCAAACACUUUUCUCUCAACUCUUCUCUCUCAAUUUCGAGAUUUCCAAGGCUUUCCUUCUACUUUUGGUGAGUAUGUUCAUUAUCCUUAUGACUUUUACACUUCCUUCUACUCCAAUCAUAGAUUUCUUACACAAAUAUCGUCAUAUUUGUGGUAGAUCUUCGAAUCUUCAAGCACCUCCCAAGUGUUCUUGAGUUGAGAACUUCUUUUCUCCAUCAUCCAUCUACUGAAAUCACUCAAGGUGAGUUCAUACCCCUACAUUUUCAUGUUUUCUCAAGUUUUUAGGGGGGGAAUACAAGUUAAAACACCAAGAACAUAACUAAAAUUUUCUAACAGCUUUCAUCAGAAAAGUUGGACUCCAUUCACGGAAUGUUUUGGACAACUUAAACAUUUUUGUUUGAAAAAAUGUUUUAGGUGUAAGUAGCUCCAGUUCUUAGCUUUAAAAUGACUACUUGCACACCUCUAUACGAUUUUUCUACGAUUUAUGGUGAUUUUUACAAAACUCCCUAUCAUUUCAAACACCAAUCCGGACCAGUCUGUGAUUAUGGACUAUUUCACCCAAGUUGGAGGUCAUUAAAAAUCAUGAUAAAAAUUAUGAGUAAACUAGACAUAUUUUGGGAACUCUCAGAAUUUACAGAUUUAGUUUUCGACUUCGUAUGAUUUUUCUAUGACUUUUCUAAAACAGAACAGGAAGGUUAAAUUUAGUUAAGAGCAUAUAAAUUUCAUAACACUUUGUAUUAUGUUGAGCAAAGUGUAUAACAAUAAGUUCUAAAUAUUGAAUGUGUUUCCUUGUUAGUUUAUCAUCAUAAACUAAAACUUAGUCAUUCAUGAUAAGAUUAUUCAUUCAUUUAGAACACGUAUAUUAAGCUAUAAUAAGCACGGUUUUUGGAUUCAUAACACAAAUGCGUUUUCAUAAAUGAGUUCUUAUACAUUACAAACGUUUUGGUAUAAACUAUAAUAGGUAUGGUUUAUGUUUCCAUUAACACAACAAACACAUUUCGGAAGGUUUUAUUCCCACAGAAAAAGGUUUUACACUCAUGCACACCACACGUAAACUUGUUAACCUAAAUUGUGAAACAAUCUCUUCCGUACGUCCGAGUGCGGAAUCUAAAUUCCUGGUAGUUAUAAUCAGAGUCUCCUGGAGGGAGAACGUGAUAGUUGUGUAUAAAUCUAUAUUGGGUUUGACAAACCCACACCAGAGCUGCUUGCAAUAGCUAGACCGGCAGGUCUGAGGUGACAAGUGUCAUUUCAGUUUCGCGACGCCUGAGAAACGUCGUGGCAGGUUUAUUCAGUCAUUAGUAUGAUUAUAGCGGCUCACAUAGGGAUUUAACAACAUAAAGUUUACAGGGAUUUUCAUAAAUCAAAAGGGGUUUUAUGUCAAUUUAAAAUCACUUUUUAUAUCAAUAAUUACAGAUAUUAUGGUAUAUUUUCAGUCUUGGUAUUUAAGACCACACAUCAUUCAUUACGGGAUUUUUCUGAAAUCAGAAAGGGUUUUACGCCAAUUUAAAACCACAUUUAUAUCUUUAAGUAUGACAAAUACUUGUUCAUUUCGGUCCUGGUAUUUAGGACUACAUAACUUUUAUAAGGAAAAUAUUGGAUUUUUCUUGGUAACAUACAUCUCCUUACAAAGAUCGAUUUUCAAACUUUUACUGUCAAAAGCUUAUGAACUCACCAACCUUUGUGUUGACACUUUUCAAAACUACUUGUAUUCUCAGGAAUUCAGUGAAAACAGGAAAUCAACAACGUUUUGAGGAUGGGACGAUAAAUCGUCAAACAGUUCAUUUUGUAUCAUAAUGUAAUUGAUUCGAAUCAUGUAAACAUAUACUUUGGUGUAACUUUUUCAAUUAUAUUUAUGAUGGUUGUAAUUACUUUGAGCACUAUUAUACUCAUGGUUGUGAUACUACACAUGAAGUCCUCCACCCCCGGACGUUUCCGCCAUCCUUGGUUUGGGGGUGUGACAUUGGAUUAGGUGUCUAAGCCCAUAACUAUAAUUGGUAUUCAUUUGAUUUGAUAGUAGCAUGGUCCUUCUGGGUUGCCUUCACUCUAGCAACUGGACAUGAUGACUUUUGGAAAGAGAGGGUGAAUUUAUUAUUUGGAAUAAUAAAUUGAUUUAUUAAUGUAUUAUGAAAAUAAUAUAUUAAUUAGUGAUCAUGUUAUUUAAUUAGCAUUUAAUUAGAAAUUGAUUUGGAAUUAAUUUUGGGAUUAAAGAAACCAAUUAAAGGAACAGGGGUUAUACAAAUCAUUG
rnacentral:lncRNA from 1 species